CCGGACAGGUGCAUGCGUCUGAGUCCAGCUUGUCGCCUCACUCGGUCAGUGCCAGAUGAAGAACUCACCAAACUUGACGAAGAUUUCAAACGUGCCCAACUAAAUUGGUCAUCGAUAGGAUGAGAAAAAAAAGUGAGCUACAUGACUCAGGGGAAAUGUCAUCAUCAAGCAAAUUGCUCUGACUAAAGGACUGACCAGGACCCUACAAUCACUAGGAAGACCCGUGGGGGGUCCGUCUACACAUCUGGUGGUGUUGGACUGUGGUGGCCAGUUUGCACCAAACUAGGAGACUCAGCAAGAGUAAAGAUGUCUCCCAUGUUGUAAACUUUGCACAUGUCAAUGUGGAGGAGCUCCAGGCUGGAAGAGAAGGCCACCCAGAGGAGCUCCAUCUCCUUGCGCUGCUCCACGGGGAGGCUUUUGUCCCGAAGAUGCGAGGAUUUCAUGGGGAUGUAAUGUCUCGUCUUCCAGAAAACACUAGACUGGGUUCAAGGGCCAAAGCAUCCCACCUUUUUACAACUCUACAUACAGUAAAAGUACUCGUGUGAGUUUUCUCCUUGCAAGUUUUUCUAGACCAUCCACGGUCUGCAUAAGAUACAAGACGGACAGAGACAGAUGUGUGUUGUUGUCUAUUGGUUGAUAUACUGUACAAUAUUAAUCCCAGGCAAAUAUUAGUUACCUUCGCUUAUAAAAGCAUCAUAUUAUCUGUUGUGCAAAAAUGGUCAAAAUGUGAAUGUAGGUUAAGACAUGAACACACGACUAUGGCUCAAAUGCAGUGCAACCCAGAUAUUUGAAUGAGCACAAAGAUGCAGCGGAGCAAGAAAUUCUAUUCAGUGAGAGUGCUGUUUUAGCCACAGGGAUGAACUUGCUUGUAUUGUACUUACUGUUGGUACUUAUUUAGUUUGACAAUAUACAUGAGUGAAGGGAAAUGUUUCAUUUUUUUCACUUUGGAAAACCAAAUUUCCUAUUUGUUGGUAUAGCUUUGGAGAGUUGAUAGUUAGUAGUUUUCUAACCCUUAAAUAUUUUGUCAUAGGUACAGUGUGAUCCAAAAGUUUAAGGUUAGCAAUGAAUCGAAAUUGAAACAGUUAAUAUAACUAAAAUAUAAUUAAGCUUACCUUAAUCAAAGAAUCCACCAGAGCUUUGCCAUCAGUCAAAGCCUUGUUUGUUCCAAGUGUGCAGUUAUCUUCUACUUUGUUAUUUACAAGUGGCAUGAGGAUGACUUGCCAAAAAUCGGGCACAAGAUUCUGUCCUGGAUGGCCGCCCUUCACUGUGUAGGCUGCUUCUCUUUCCUCAAAAGAUGCUUCACUGAGGUCCAAACAGGCUUCAGGUCCAAGGCACCAGAGCUAUGCAUGACCAUAUCCCAGCCCAAUACCCGAUUCACGCCAUCCAUGGACCUCUAAGUAUGCUUUGGAGGGUGACAAAAUAUUCGAAAUGUGAUGAGAGCGAAGAGAGAGGCUAAUAAAAUGAUGUAACUUUAGCAAGAUACUAAUCCUGUGAUUGACCCCUUUGCACCGACGCAGGAUAAAGCCGACAUGUAAUCUCAUUAACUGUCACUGAGAGCGAAGACAAAAGCAGAUGCCUGUCUCCGCCACAACUGUCCUUUCACCGAGGGGAGGCUGCGCUCUUUGCCUCCACUCUGGCUAUCUCUCUUUCACUCAACUUGAAAAUAAUAUGCUUAAGAAAUGAAUGCAAAUAUAGUUCAAAUCUAAAGUAACAGAAUAUAUGUAAGAAAACUUUAUGAUUUGAAGUAAUUUUCCGCCUCUUCAACAAUGUAUGGUGCAAUUCAAACUCUCACAUAGAUGUGAUGUCAUUAAAAAUACCCUAAAUUUCAUUUUUGUAACCUGAAAUGUGAUGAAUGUUGCUAAAGUGACCUACAAUACAGAAAAAUAAAAACUUUAAAAUUUCA